GACAGAGGUGCCGAGCGUUAGGCGGAAUCACUGGGCUUAAAGCGUGCGUAGGCGGGCGUCUAAGUGUCUUGUGAAAUCCCACGGCUCAACCGUGGAACUGUUGGGCAUACUGGACGCCUUGAGUCACACAGGGGCGAGCGGAACAAGUGGUGGAGCGGUGAAAUGCGCAGAUAUCAGGAGGAACACCAAUGGCGAAGGCAGCUCGCUGGGACGUGACUGACGCUGAGACGCGAAAGCGUGGGGAGCAAACAGG
rnacentral:rRNA from 1 species